AGCGAACGCUGGCGGCAGGCUUAACACAUGCAAGUCGAGCGGGCACUCUCGGGUGUCCGCGGCGGACGGGUGAGUAACGCGUGGGAACGCGCCCUCUGGUUCGGAAUAACUCAGGGAAACUUGAGCUAAUACCGGAUACGCCCUUUUGGGGAAAGGCUUGCUGCCGGAGGAUCGGCCCGCGUCUGAUUAGCUUGUUGGUGAGGUUACGGCUCACCAAGGCGACGAUCAGUAGCUGGUCUGAGAGGAUGAUCAGCCACACUGGGACUGAGACACGGCCCAGACUCCUACGGGAGGCAGCAGUGGGGAAUAUUGGACAAUGGGCGCAAGCCUGAUCCAGCCAUGCCGCGUGAGUGAUGAAGGCCUUAGGGUUGUAAAGCUCUUUUAUCCGGGACGAUAAUGACGGUACCGGAGGAAUAAGCCCCGGCUAACUUCGUG
rnacentral:rRNA from 1 species